UCAGAUGCCUGGCUGUUGCUCCCAGGAAAGCAGUCAUGUCAUAAUGGCUAAUAAUUGUUGCUUAAGAGUGUGUGCUUGCCUCAACUAAGAGCGUCCUCAGGUCAGGAGUGUGCAUGUGUCAGACAAUUCCAUCUUCCAGAAUCUUUUGCUCAAGAACAAAGUCUCAGGCAGGGUGAGAAGCUCCUGGUUCCAGCACAACCAAGAUGGUCUGGCCUAAGGCUUCAUUCAGGCUCAGCCUCACAGAUUCCUGGUUACCGGACCUCCCACAAGAUUGACAACAACACAGCUUUGCUCAGACAGUAUCAGACAUUUAUGAAACAAGUGAAUAUUCACAAAAUGUGGGAGAAACACACCUUCUCAGUAAGAAUAAAAUCUCUGUAUAAAGUG